rnacentral:precursor_RNA from 17 species
CAAUCUGCCCACCUGCCGCGCCCCCCGGGCUGAGGUAGGAGGUUGUAUAGUUGAGGAAGACACCCGAGGAGAUCACUAUACGGCCUCCUAGCUUUCCCCAGGCUGCGCCCUGCACUGGAAGGGGCCG